rnacentral:rRNA from 1 species
GACGAACGCUGGCGGCGUGCUUAACACAUGCAAGUCGAACGGAAAGGCCCUGCUUGCCGGGUGCUCGAGUGGCGAACGGGUGAGUAACACGUGGGUGAUCUGCCCCUUACCUUGGGAUAAGCCUGGGAAACUGGGUCUAAUACUGGAUAGGACCAUGCUGUAGGUGGUGUGGUGGAAAGAUUAGUUUCGGUAAGGGAUGAGCUCGCGGCCUAUCAGCUUGUUGGUGGGGUAAUGGCCUACCAAGGCGUCGACGGGUAGCCGGCCUGAGAGGGUGGACGGCCACAUUGGGACUGAGAUACGGCACAGACUCCUACGGGAGGCAGCAGUGGGGAAUAUUGCACAAUGGGCGCAAGCCUGAUGCAGCGACGCCGCGUGGGGGAUGACGGCCUUCGGGUUGUAAACUCCUUUCAGCCAUGACGAAGCCCUUGUGGUGACGGUAGUGGUAGAAGAAGCACCGGCUAACUACGUG